rnacentral:misc_RNA from 1 species
CUGCUGCUGUCUUUAUUAGCUCUUCCAUUGUCUGUGGAACCCAUAACACUAUACCAGGUCUUUUUUGUUCUUUGGGACCCCAUGGAUGGAAAGGGAAAAUUGUGCACUUCCUUCUCUGCAUUUUAUCUGUGCUUUCUUGAGAGUGAGGCCAGAAUUCUGAUAGCUGAGCAGAUUUUGCAUCUUCCAGUAGCUUGAUCAAAUUCUUGUUUCCGGAUAUCCGACCUUCAUCAAGAGGAGUUU